GCCUAAGCUUCAAUUCCUGCUUCAGAGUGGUGAAGUGGUUAACUCUUUGCCCAGCUUGCUCACUAACUAGCAUGAUUACUUCGAGAACAUGGAACAGACUGGAGCAGAGCUGGUAUGGAGCCAAAGUGGACCCAAUGGGACACAGCCAUGAAAGAUUCCAGGCAUCAAACCAGCUGGAACUAUUCAUUUUAGCUUGAUAAUCAGAAAUUCCCCAACUGAUCAUAAAGACCCUGUAAUAAGGGUGCCGGGGAAGGCAAUGCCAAGGAAAUGCAUGAUUGCGCUCCAUUUUAUAACAGCUGGUGAUAAACCCGAAUUCUGCUUCACCUGAAAAACAACAUGGAUUCGGUGCAGCUUUGCAAAUCUGCGUUCCCACCUGCAGUUCCGUGGUCAUGCUCAGAUGGAUUUAUCUCUGGGCUUAUCUCCAGGAAAGUUUGGGCAUGACUGGAUAUAUGUCCGUGUACAGGUGAGCAACAGCCCCAGCCUCUUAGAUGUAUAACUGUCUCCAUCGACAUGAAAAAUGUGAACAAUUUGGCUUCAAGUAAUGAGGCAGUUUGAUGUGAGCAGAUUCGCAAGCAGUAAGAGAGAACCUUUUAAAUUGGGAUUGCAGGGCCCGGGGAGAAACGCGCAUGCUCGCUAGCGUGCCGUGGCGUGUGCGUUAGGUCCCUGGAAUCCAGAUGCUCUACCUGAAAGUAAUGAGGCUUCUCCAAGGGUGUGGGUGCCCGGGUGCUACUUAAUUUCUUCUCAUUCUCUUCUUCUUGUCGAACAAAAUGAAUCAUAAAGUUGUUAUUCACGUUAGUGCAUAUACUAAAAGUAAAUCGUAUAAAGUCAUUGAUGUAAUGAAAUCAAAGCGCCUGUAUCACAAUUACUGUACAGACGUGCUGCUGAAUCCAUGAGUUGAAGCCUACCUUUUAGCUGAGCCAACAAAAACAGACUUCAGGCUCCGGGGAAAGGAAAGGGCAAUGGUAUAUUUCAAAUGACUGCUCUGUGCCCAGCCCUGUUGUUCGAAGGUACGUUUCUUGGAACACUUCGGGGUGUGCGUCCAGGUUGCCACACAGGACAGUGGACACUAGAACUUCCUGGGCACCACAGGGCUCCAGCUGUGCUUGGGGGAUUGUGAAUGAUCACGUGCUAGGAGCCUCUUGCAUUUCCCGAGGAGAGCAUUCUUGCAAGGGCUUCUUCGGAGACUGGCACCGAGAGAUGGCCUGGGAAGGUCUUACUACUCCCAUUAAAGAAAGAAAGUUGCCAUUAAGGCACAUCUCCAAAGCCAGAUGCACCGGUGUAAGCCUGAAAUACCAGCACUCUAGGAGGGGGAAGACUGGAGAGUGGCAAGUUCAAAGCUGGCCUGGGCCACAUGUGAAUUCAAGUGUCAAAACCACAAGAGCUGAGGCUGGAACUCAGUGGCAGAUACCUGUGUGUGAAAGACCUCGGGUUCCAUCGCCGUUACCGGAAUGAAAAAUAAUCUGGGGGAUUGAAGUACCAACAAUCGAAUGAUACAGACAAGCAUUUAAAGCACAUAACUCCCUUCUGUUAGUGCGGAAGAUGAUCUAGGGCACGUAAGAGGAAGCCAAGCAUUCCUGAAAUCCCAACACUCAGGAGGUAGAGGCAGGAGGAUGAGUGGUUCAAGGCCAGUUUUCGCUGCGUAGUAAGUUAAAGGUAAGCAGUGAUCUACAUUUUAAGGCCCGGACUUCUGCCCGCCCCUGCACAAGGUGGGAAACCCUGUCUGCUCUUCUUCCCCCAAACCCACCCACAGGGAGAAAACUCCAGCUAACAUGUCAUCACUCCGCGCCUCUGCAUUUCCGGCAACCCACCCAAGAGUGCCUGCAAAGGGACUCAGUUUUUGACCGAAUGUUGACACAAUCCCAGCUCCUAGCUAAGGGAUCAUUACUCCUCACCUAAACUCUAUAAAACGCCCUUGCUUAUCCUGCGUAUGUAACUCCAUUGGCAUCCUCCUGUGAAAUCAGCAAACCCAACAAGAGCUGCCUCCUAAUAA